rnacentral:rRNA from 1 species
GAUGAACGCUGGCGGCGUGCCUAAUACAUGCAAGUCGAGCGAACAGACGAGGAGCUUGCUCCUCUGACGUUAGCGGCGGACGGGUGAGUAACACGUGGAUAACCUACCUAUAAGACUGGGAUAACUUCGGGAAACCGGAGCUAAUACCGGAUAAUAUAUUGAACCGCAUGGUUCAAUAGUGAAAGACGGUUUUGCUGUCACUUAUAGAUGGAUCCGCGCCGCAUUAGCUAGUUGGUAAGGUAACGGCUUACCAAGGCAACGAUGCGUAGCCGACCUGAGAGGGGGAUCGGCCACACUGGAACUGAGACACGGUCCAGACUCCUACGGGAGGCAGCAGUAGGGAAUCUUCCGCAAUGGGCGAAAGCCUGACGGAGCAACGCCGCGUGAGUGAUGAAGGUCUUCGGAUCGUAAAACUCUGUUAUUAGGGAUGAACAAAUGUGUAAGUAACUAUGCACGUCUUGACGGUACCUAAUCAGAAAGCCACGGCUAACUACGUG